UACGGGGGGAGCAAGCGUUGUUCGGAUUUACUGGGCGUAAAGGGCGCGUAGGCGGUCAGCACAAGUCAGUUGUGAAAUCUCCGAGCUUAACUCGGAAAGGUCAACUGAUACUGUGCGACUAGAGUGCAGAAGGGGCAACUGGAAUUCUCGGUGUAGCGGUGAAAUGCGUAGAUAUCAAGAGGAACACCUGCGGCGAAGGCGGGUUGCUGGGCCGACACUGACGCUGAGGCGCGAAAGCUAGGGGAGCGAACGGG
rnacentral:rRNA from 1 species